GGCGCUGGGUUACAUCAGAGGCCAGGACUGGCACCUGGCGCCUUUCACUUCCCUAAACUUGCCUGGGAACCGGGGCGGGGACAUCACGAGGGUACAGACUCCUCCCCCGAGACGCGAUGCUGCGUUUUGGAGAGGCAAAAGGCAACGCUGAGUCUGCCCAGACCACGCCCACGACGGGCCCGGCGCUCCAGCGUCUCCUGGAGCCUGGCCACCGUUCCUUUUCGUGGUAGCUAAUCCCAGCCCACGCUCUUCUGUCUGACCCAACUCCCGCCCGGGUUUCUGGAUCAGGCACAAGUUUGUAUUUUAUUUUUUAUUCCAGCCCUACAACCUGGGUCCAACUCUUGGGACCUUUGUUCUUCCUCUUUUUUUUUUUUUUUUUUUUUUUUUUUUUUUGAGACGGAGUUUCACUCUUGUCGCCCAGGCUGGAGUGCAAUGGCACGAUCUCGGUUCACUGCAACCUCCGCCUUCCUGAUUAAAGCGAUUAUCCUGCCUCAGCCUCCCGAGUAGCUGGGAUUACAGGCGCCCGACACCACGCCCGGCUAAUUUUUGUAGUUUUAGUAGAGACGGGGUUUUUCCAUGUUGACUAGGCUGGUCUCGAACUCCUGACCUCGUGAUCCACCAGCCUCGGCCCCCGAAAGUGCCAAGAUUGCAGAAGUGAGCCACUGCGCCCCUUAAGAAGCAUUUGUGUUCCAGUGUAUCUUCCCCUUUUUCUUUCUUUUUUUUUUUCCUUCCUUUUUUUUUUUUUUUUUUCCCGGACAAUAUCUCGCUCUGUUGCCCAGGCCGGAGUGCAGUGGCGCAAUCUUGGCUCACUGCAACCUCUGCCUCCCCAGCUCAAGUGAUCCUCUCACCUCAGCCUCCCGAGUAGCUGGGAUCACGGGCACAUGCCACUAUGCCCAGCUAAUUUUUGUAGUUUUUUUUUUGAAACACGGUUUCACCAUGUGGCUCAGGCUGAACUCCUGAGCUCAAGGGAUCCACCUGUCUUGCCUCCCAAAGUGCUGGGAUUACAGGCAUGUAAUCCACGCCACCCAGACUCUCCUUUUUCAUUCUGCACGUUUUCUCCAGGAUCCCCUGAGCUAGCAAAGAGGUGACUGUAUGUUUGUUUUUUGUCGUUUUGAGACAGGAUAAUGGUUUCUCACCCAGGCUAGAAUGCAGUGACUCCAUCACAGUUCACUGCAGCCUCAACCUACUGGGCUCAAGAGAUCUUCCCAGGUAGCUGGUACUACAGGCCUGUGCCACCACACCCAGAUAAUUGUUCAUUGCAGAGAUGAGGGUCUCACUAUGUUGCCCAGGCUGCUCUGGAACUCCGGGGUUCAAGUGAUUCUCCCACCUCAGCCUCAAAGGAUCAUGGCAGGGCAAAGGGCUAUGGGAAUCUGAGUACUGGCUUGAAACUGCCUUUGCAAAAAUUAUGACAGAAAAUUAUGUCAGUGAAAGAGCUCUGACCUAACCAACUCCAUCUUGCCUUUAAUCUCCAAACUGCCCUUGCUUGGUCAUUCCUGGAGUGGGGUCAAGCUAACUUUUUUUUUUUUUUUGACACGUUGUCUCACUCUGUCGCCCAGGCUGGAGUCCAGUGGUGUGAUCUCAGCUCACUGCAACAUCCGCCUCCUAGGUUCAAGCAAUCCUCCUGCCUCAGCUUCCUGAGUAGCUGGGAUUACAGGCAUGCGCCACAUGCCCAGCUAAUUUUUGUAUUUUUGGUAGAGACUGGGUUUCACCAUUUUUGGUAGAGAUGGGGUUUCACCUUGGGGCUCAGGCUGGUGUCGAACUCCUGGGCUCAAGUGAUCUGCCCGCCUCAGCCUGCCAAAUUGCUGGGAUUAAAGAGGGAGCCACCAUGCCUGGCCCCAAGCUAAUUUUGGGAGGAAUUUAGUUUAUAGCUUAAAUGAUAAUAGCCCUUCCCCAAACUAAACUGCCUUUGUAGAAAUAAUGAAAGGGCACUAGGUUAGGAGGAUGAGAGGAGCCUGAAUUCUGCUAAACUGUAGGUGUAGUAGUUAAAUUAUGACCAGCCAUUUUUCCGGCCGGGUGCGGUGCCUCACGCCUGUAAUCCCAGCACUUUGAGAGGCCGAGGCUGGCAGAUUACCUGAGGUCAGGAUUUCGAAACCAGCCUGGCCAGCAUUUCGAAACCCCAUCUCUUCUAAAAAUACAAAAAUUAGCCCGGCAUGGUGGCAUGUGCCUGUAAUCCUAGCUACCUGGUAGGCUGACACAGGAGAAUCACUUGAACCCAGGAGGCAGAGGUUGCAGUGAGCCAAGAUGGAACAACUGCACUCCAGCCUGGGCAAGAGCAAGACUCCAUCUCAAAAACAAAAACAAAGAUGGCCAGCCAUUAUUCUGGAGGUCACAAGGUUUGCAACUUCCCCAGUUAUUUCUGCAAAUAACAUGACUAUUGCAAAACCUAACGCUGGCCUUUUUAGAUGUCUUUUUAGGCUUUUUGCAUAUCUGACAACUGGAUGACUCCACCCAGACUAGCGACUCUAUGGUCCCCACCCAGAAGCUGACUCAGCAACUGUUUUCCACAGCUCCAGGAUUGCAGCAAGGCACCCAUUCCCUAGCCCUCCUGCCCACCAAACUGUUCUUGAAUAACCCUAGCCUCUGAAUUUUCAGGGAGGCUGAUUCAAGUAAUAAAACUCCCAUCUCCCAUUUAGCUGGAUGUAUGUGGAUUAAACUCUCUCUAUUGCAAUCCCUCUGUCUCGAUAAAUUGGCUCUAUCUGGACAGUGGGCAAGAUGAACCCCCUGGGCAGUCAUAGGCUGUGAACUCUUAAAUCCAGGGAGAUGUUUGCUGUCAAUGUCCGCAGGGUUCAAGGCAGAAGACAAGGACAGUGUAGCCUGAACUGGGUGGGAAAAGAGAGGACAGCAAGGCCUCCAGUGCCCAAGGGGGCUUGUUGGAGUUGAGGGGUGUCACUGUAGUUUAGGAGAUGAGGGUGUGUAAGGCCCUCUAAUAUGACCUCUAGGUUUACAGCCUCCUGCCAUCUUCCAGCCUCCAAAACCCAAAAAUUCAGGCCAACGCUGAAGCUUUAUCUGGGAGGGGCAUUUUUAUAGGACCCAUAACCAUUGACAGUUAAUAUCAG
rnacentral:lncRNA from 10 species